rnacentral:rRNA from 1 species
UACGUAGGGACCAAGCGUUGUUCGGAUUUACUGGGCGUAAAGGGCUCGUAGGCGGCCAACUAAGUCAGACGUGAAAUCCCCAGGCUCAACCUGGGAACUGCGUCUGAUACUGGAGGGCUUGAGUAUGGGAGAGGGAUGUAGAAUUCCAGGUGUAGCGGUGAAAUGCGUAGAUAUCUGGAGGAAUACCGGUGGCGAAGGCGGCAUCCUGGACCAUUACUGACGCUGAGGCGCGAAAGCUAGGGGAGCAAACGGG